ACAGCAGUCGCCACGGGAAUACGUAGGUGGCAAGCGUUGUCCGGAAUUAUUGGGCGUAAAGGGCUCGCAGGCGGUUUCUUAAGUCUGAUGUGAAAGCCCCCGGCUCAACCGGGGAGGGUCAUUGGAAACUGGGAAACUUGAGUGCAGAAGGGGAGAGUGGAAUUCCACGUGUAGCGGUGAAAUGCGUAGAGAUGUGGAGGAACACCAGUGGCGAAGGCGACUCUCUGGUCUGUAACUGACGCUGAGGAGCGAAAGCGUGGGGAGCGAACAGGAUUAGAUACCCCUGUAGUCCCUGUCUCUUAUAC
rnacentral:rRNA from 1 species